GCACUCCGCUCGGUCGCACGAUCGCCCGCUCGCGUCCUCUCCCACACGAUCGCCCUCACGCCGCUCGUUCCGCUCCCACAUUCCGCUCCUCUCCUAAUCUUGCGCUCCUCCAGCGCCGCUCACGCCCGCGCUCACGCUCCGCAUCCACAUCCUCAUCCUGCGCGCCGCCGCCGUCGCCUCCCGUGUCGCCCUCGUUGUCGGUUGCCUCCCCGCCAACGAGUCACCGUCGACGACGUCCGCCGCCGAAUAUUCCUUCGCUCCCCUCGCGAUUCCUUCACUCCCCCCGCGAUUCCUUCACCUCCCUUGCGAUUCCUCUGCUGUGCCCGCACCCGCGCUCACGCUCCGCAUCCUCAUCCUCAUCGCUCCCCGCCCCUUCCUCAUCUUGCGCGCUGCCACCGUCGCCCUCGCCGUCGGUCGCCUCCCCGCCGACGAAUCACCGUCGACGACGUCCAGGACCCCACCUUCGAAGUUCCAGCGCCGCCGACAGCCAUCCUUGCCGUUUGCAUGCUGUGCUCCGCCGAAGGGAACCCAUUCCUAGGGUUUUGCCGCUGCCACCAAUCCGCGCCUCGAUCUGCGCUGUUGCGCCGCCGCCAUCCCCGACUCCAAUGACGCCGUCGGUUGCAGUCGUCGUUGCGGCUACUGGGAUAACAACACCGGAGGCAGGAGUGAGGAGGAUGCAACGGUGGAGAACACCGGUGUGGGGAGCGUGUCGGUGGCAUCGGGAGCUGGCUGUGGCGUGGCGUUGUAGAGGAGGACGGGGUCCGGGUGGUGGGACUGGUGUAGACGGCGAGCUCGUCCCCACGCUGCCGUGUUCUGCGAGCGCCGCGUCGCCCUCCAGAACUCGCAUGGCAUCCCCACGCUGCCGUGUACUGCGAGCGCCACGCCACCCUCCACAACUCGCAUGGCAUUCACACGUGCUACCAUUGCCAAUCAGAGGCACCUCAAUGGAGAACAACCGUGAUUCCAUGGGCGCCAUCCUCCACAAUGAACAGAAGAACCUCCCCAUCUCCAAUAAGGUACGCCUCUAAUUGCUGCAUGCCAGGCACUCGAUGAAAUCACCAAGAAGGGGUCGUUCAUGCCCAAACAACUGGGAGUAGCGAGCAUUGGUGCUGCUGUUGAGCACGGUGCAGCUCACUGUCACUGGUGUGGCUCAGUGGGUCGAGGUGCUUCUAUUGUCUGCCAAAAUUUGGAGCUGGGUCUGCCAUUUCCACCAAUGUCGCCUCCCCCAAGAUCUCGGUGAGAAAUUUGUCUUGGCAGCAUCAUGCGUAGCCACGGCAAAUGUGAGAUCGCCGGUAUUGGUAUAGGGGAUAUGGAUGUCAAUAGAAGAUGGCUUGAUGAUGGUGAAGAUCUAUCAUGGUCACCCGCUGAAGGAUACUAAGAUAUGGUAGGAAAAUUGGCUGUUGCAAAAAUGGUGCCAGAUCUGCCAGCUAAUUCAGCAUGUGGACGCUACUGAGUGUUGGAAAUUAAAUGGCGUCACUAUACCCAAGAAGGAUGAGGCUCUGAAGAUGGAGAUGACUGCCAGAAGAACAGACGCUCUAAUUGUAGAAAUCUGAUCCAGUUAUUCAUGAAGGCAGAGGUGGCAACACUCCAAUUUCUACUCUUAUUCAGUUAUUCAGGAUGCAUGUGAAUCUCGAUUCUUUUUCUUUCUUUUUUUUGACAGGGGAAACUGUAGGGGAGACCCCUACUGCGGUAAAUAUAUAUUAUAAAAAGAAAAGGUAACUGUACAGAAAUUAGGGGGGAUGGGGAAACCAAACUAUACAAGGGCAAGGAAGACCAAACCAGAGGGACAGAGAGAAGAAAUAAAUGCAUAAUGAACAUUAAGAAUGUCAGUGUUAUUUCUCAAUUCAUAUGGAGUUUCAUAUGUUCACGGCAUUAGCUUGAACAAUUUUACCGGCACACUUCCUUCUGAACUGGGCAACUUGGCCAAACUGGGGCAACUGUAAAAUGCAUCUUUUGAACUGCCAAACCUCACUUCUGAAAGAACUUCAAUUUUGGCAACAAUCUUUGCAUAGUUCAACUUGAGGAUUAUUGCAAUGUUUCAAUUGCAGUUACUUUGAUAGCUCUGGCUUCAGCGGUCCAUUCCCUUCGACGUUCUCAAAGCUUAAGAACUUGAAGACCCUGUGGGCAGCCGACAACGAUUUCAUAGGCAAAAUGCCUGAUUUUAUCGGGAGCUUGACUAAGUUGCAAGAUCUAGCUGCUUUUUUGUCAUGUUCAAAUGACAAAUGGACUUUGCAUCACCCUGCUUAAUAGGGGUUAAAAUUAUGAACUUGUAGGAGGUUCCAAGGAAAUUUUUUUCAAGGCCCAAUCCCAGCAAGUCUGUCCAAUCUAACCAAUUUGACAAGCUUGUAAGUACUUUGUUCUUUGGUGCCACUGUUUGCUUAAUGGCGGAGAAAGUCAAGCUUGUCAUGGAAACUGAUAUGUUAAUAUUCUCAUGUGCAGACAGAUUGGUGACUGUAAUUUUGAUAUUACGUUGCGCAUGACUUGUAUUUUUGUUGUAAUGCACGAGCGCUCACCUAUUCUAUUGGAAGUUGGCAACCACAAAAAAUUUUUA